rnacentral:rRNA from 1 species
GAGUGGUGGAUACUUUGACUCAUGAGAGAGAAGCUGAGGCGAAGGCGUCUACCUAGAGGGUUUCUGUCGAUCAAGGGCGAGAGUAGGAGUAUCCAACAGGAUUAGAGACCCUGGUAGUUCCUACCUUAAACGAUGCCGACAGGAGUUUGUCAUUUGUUAAUGGCAGAAUCUUUGGAGAAAUCAUAGUUCUUGGGCUCUGGGGGAACUACGACCGCAAGGCUGAAACUUGAAGGAAUUGACGGAAGGGCACACCAGGGGUGGAGCCUGUGGCUUAAUUUGAAUCAACACGGGGAAACUUACCAGGACCAGAUGUUUUUUAUGACUGACAGGCUUCGGGUCUUUCAGGAUAUUGUUUUUGGUGGUGCAUGGCCGUUGGUGGUGCGUGGGUUGACCUGUCUAGCGUUGAUUCAGCUAACGAGCGAGAUUAUCGCCAAUUAUUUACUUUGCCGAAGUCCUUCGGUUAAAGUUCUAAUUGGGACUCCCUGCGAUUUUAGCAGGUGGAAGAGGGUAGCAAUAACAGGUCCGUGAUGCCCUUUAGAUGCUCUGGGCUGCACGCGUGCUACAAUGUUAGGAUCAAUAGGACUGCGAGCCUGAGAGGGUGCGCUACUCUUAUAAUCCCUAACGUAGUUGGGAUUGACGUUUGUAAUCAGCGUCAUGAACCAGGAAUCCCUUGUAAAUGUGUGUCAACAACGCACGUUGAAUACGUCCCUGCCCUUUGUACACACCGCCCGUCGCUCCUACCGAUUGGAUGACUCGGUGAAAUCACCGGAUGCUUACGAGCAGAAAGUGAUUAAAUCACGUUAUCUAGAGGAAGGAGAAGUCGUAACAAGGUAACGGUAGGUGAACCUGCCGUUGGAUC